rnacentral:rRNA from 1 species
CCUACGGGAGGCAGCAGUGAGGAAUAUUGGUCAAUGGACGAGAGUCUGAACCAGCCAAGCAGCGUGAAGGAUGAAUGCCCUAUGGGUUGUAAGCUUCUUUUAUAAAGGAAUAAAACGAAACACGUCUGCCUUUUUGCAUGUACUUUAUUAAUAAGGAACGGCUAACUCCGUGCCGUCCGCCGCGGUAAUACGGAGGUUCCGAGCGUUAUCCGGAUUUAUUGGUUGUAAAGGGAACGUAGGCGGUCGGAUGAGUUAGAGGUGAACUCCCCAGGCUCAACUUCGGAAUUGCAUCUGAUACUGGUCGGCUAGAGAGUAGUAGAGGGAGGUGGAAUGUAUGGUGUAGCGGUGAAAUGCUUAGAGAUCAUGAAGAACACCGAUUGCGAAGGCAGCCUCCCAAGCUACUUCUGACGUUGAGGUACGAAAGCGUGGGGAGCAAACAGGAUUAGAUACCCUUGUAGUC